rnacentral:rRNA from 1 species
AACGGACGCUGGCGGCAUGCCUAACACAUGCAAGUCGAACGAGGCCUUCGGGUCUAGUGGCGCACGGGUGCGUAACGCGUGGGAACCUGCCCUUAGGUUCGGAAUAACUCCCCGAAAGGGGUGCUAAUACCGGAUAAUGUCUUCGGACCAAAGAUUUAUCGCCUUUGGAUGGGCCCGCGUUGGAUUAGCUAGUUGGUAGGGUAAAAGCCUACCAAGGCGACGAUCCAUAGCUGGUCUGAGAGGAUGAUCAGCCACACUGGGACUGAGACACGGCCCAGACUCCUACGGGAGGCAGCAGUGGGGAAUAUUGGACAAUGGGCGAAAGCCUGAUCCAGCAAUGCCGCGUGAGUGAUGAAGGCCUUAGGGUUGUAAAGCUCUUUUACCCGGGAUGAUAAUGACAGUACCGGGAGAAUAAGCUCCGGCUAACUCCGUG